rnacentral:misc_RNA from 1 species
UACGAGGGGUGCAAACGUUAUUCGGAAUUACUGGGCGUAAAGGGUGUGUAGACGGCAAAAUAAGUCAAUUGUAAAAUUCCUUGGCUUAACCAAGGGUCUGUGAUUGAAACUGUUUUGCUUGAGGAUGGAAGAGAGAAGUGGAAUUCUCGGAGUAGCGGUAAAAUGCGUAGAUCUCGAGAGGAACACCGAUGGCGAAGGCAGCUUCUUGGUCCAUUUCUGACGUUGAUGCACGAAAGCGUGGGGAGCAAACAGG